AAAGUCCCUGUGGGGUAAGGCUGGCGGGUCGCCUCAGCUUCGAGUCAUGCGCCUGAUACCGUAAGGUGUCCGGUGAAGCGUUGACAGGAGUGCCUGUAGGCUAAGUAUUGAGCUGCGAAAUGAAUUAGAUUCGAGGUGCUGAUGUUGUUAUCCGAAGCAGAAAGCAAAACCAUACACUGCGCUACACCGCAAGUAGUAUAUGGGCCUUGCGCAGUCGUAGACCU
rfam:Endozoicomonas sp. (ex Bugula neritina AB1) isolate AB1-5 ACH42_contig000253, whole genome shotgun sequence.